UGGGCGAAAGCCUGAUGCAGCCAUGCCGCGUGAGUGAUGAAGGCCCUAGGGUUGUAAAACUCUUUCAGUGGGGAAGAUAAUGACGGUACCCACAGAAGAAGCUCCGGCUAACUCCGUGCCAGCAGCCGCGGUAAUACGGAGGGAGCUAGCGUUGUUCGGAAUUACUGGGCGUAAAGCGCAAGCAGCCGCGGUAAUACGGAGGGAGCUAGCGUUGUUCGGAAUUACUGGGCGUAAAGCGCACGUAGGCGGACUGAUCAGUUGGGGGUGAAAGCCCAGGGCUCAACCCUGGAACUGCCUUCAAUACUGUCAGUCUUGAGUCCGAGAGAGGUGAGUGGAAUUUCCAGUGUAGAGGUGAAAUUCGUAGAUAUUGGAAAGAACACCAGUGGCGAAGGCGGCUCACUGGCUCGGUACUGACGCUGAGGUGCGAAAGUGUGGGGAGCAAACAGGAUUAGAUACCCUGGUAGUCCACACCGUAAACGAUGGAUGCUAGUUGUCGGGCAGCAUGCUGUUCGGUGACGCAGCUAACGCAUUAAGCAUCCCGCCUGG
rnacentral:rRNA from 1 species